UACAGAGGGGGCAAGCGUUAUUCGGAAUCAUUGGGCGUAAAGCGCGUGUAGGCGGCCCGGUAAGUCCGCUGUGAAAGUCCAGGGCUCAACCCUGGGAUGCCGGUGGAUACUGUCGGGCUCGAGUCCGGAAGAGGCGAGUGGAAUUCCUGGUGUAGCGGUGGAAUGCGCAGAUAUCAGGAGGAACACCAAUGGCGAAGGCAGCUCGCUGGGACGUGACUGACGCUGAGACGCGAAAGCGUGGGGAGCAAACAGG
rnacentral:rRNA from 1 species